rnacentral:misc_RNA from 1 species
UUGAAAAAUGGAAGAACAACUACUAGAUGGAAAAGUGGCCAACAUUAUAUUUAUAUGUAAUAAAAGAAUUUGAUCAUUAAUAUCAUUGUUGACAAACCCAUAAUUUGUAAACAGGUGGAUGUACUCCUGCCCUUAAUUCAAAAAAUCUGAAACCAUUUAGGAAGAUAAUUGUAAGUUUAUGACACCAAUGCGGCUACAGAGAUUACCUGCCAAUGCUCCUGAGUCCUGACACUGUUGAUGAUAACAAAUGUUACACCUACCAUUAAG